GCGUGAAUUGAACAAGAGUCAAGAGAGGACACCCACCUUCACCCCUGAGUGUUAUCUGCAGGAGGAUUGAAAGACCUCAGCCAGGAAAGCCAGAGGCGGGCCAUCGCUUUUGGAUUACAGACAAGGGCUGCGGUCUUCUCCUCCCCCGUGCCCUGUGUUUCCUGCUGCAGAAGAACUGGGGAGCUAUGCCAGAAAAACCUGACAGCCGUUCAUCAAGCCCCUGUUCGGGUUGCAUCCUGUCCUGUACUAAGUACUACAGAGAGGAGAAGAGAGAGGUACAGGGUGUCCCAAAAGUCUCAGUGCAGUUUCAAGCCAUUAGAGCUUUGGGACACCCUGCUGUCUCUCUGCCCUGGAGGAGUCUGCAGCCCAGAGGGCAGAGACAGUAAUUUCCUGCAUCUUUGUCCACUAUUUCAGCAAAUGUUUUCAAUAAAAAUAAUAAAUUAAAGACCUGAAAUUCCCA
rnacentral:lncRNA from 1 species